UGUGUGUUUUCUUACGACAGUGGCAAUAUAGUUGUGACAGAAGCCAUCUGGCUUGUAAAGUAUGAACAUCUUAAAUGUCUGCCUCUUCUUGUUCCUAGAGGAUGCUUGGCUUGUCUCACCUUCCACUCUUACCUGCAGGUGAGACUGCACCCAUAAAACGAGCUCACAUGGACUCUCAGGAUAGAACAGAGUAAAGGGCAGAGGAACAGACAUCAGACGUACCUAAGUCUGAGUCCUGGAUCUUAGCCUGACCUAAGGCAGGUUGUGCAAGAAAUGACAGGCAUUGCUUGUGCAUUUUCCCGCUGGAGAUACUGACAACCUGGAGGCCUAACCCCACAUGUAUAUGUCCGUCUGAUGUAUUCUCAAGGAUUCUACAUUCUCAUUGAAUUCAUCGUUCAAAUAUCGAGCUGCUUUGGCACUCCUGUCUCAUAAAUGUCCAGUUAACACUGAUUUAACAGAAACUUCAUGAAGCCCAGCCCGCAAGACAUCAUGCCUGUGGUGAAGAUUUCAUGGGAUAAAAUCACUAACAGCCGUGCUGCCAAUGCACUGGGAGCAGACUACAUGGAUGAAAAAUGCGUAUGUAAGGAGAGUCCUAUUGGUGGACCUGAGAGAUUGGAACCAGUGGUUCUGCGGGAAAUGGAGUCCUAAGAAAUUCAGGUUAGAAUUCAGAGUUUGAAGAGUUAUGAUGAAGUUCUAGAAGAAGAUGACAUGACUGCAUUUGAGUAAAUGUAAACUUUUGCACAUAAAUACAAGUAGCUUUUAUAUGAAUAAAUAAUUAAAUGUGGAUUACUAUACAUGAAGAAAAAGUCCCUGAAAAUAAGCUCUAUUGCAUCUUUUAGCAUGAAGAUUAAUGUAAAACCUGGUUCUAUUUUUAGUUUCAGGGAAAUACAGUUAUAUACCAAGCAGCUUUGGAAAGUUUAGUCUUUCUUUUUCUAUUCCUUUUUCUUGGACAUUUCAGACUUUUCCUGUUCUGAUUUAGAAAUUAGGUGACACAGCAAAAAUUUUGUUUUCCCAGUUAAUUUUAUAAAAGAUGAUUGUAUAUAUCUGUUGACAAUGAAAGUUUUCUUUCCAUGAAUAAUCAAAAUCUCAGAAAAUUUGGUUUCUCUAAAUUUCAACAGAUUCUAAGCCCAAUGAUCCUCUCUCUUGUUUUUCUAUGACAACUGUAAUUACUAUCUAAAACUGACAUUUUUGUAUAUAGUACACAUGCAUAUUAAAGUGGUUAUAUAAACAUAAAUGAAUUUUCCUCUCAAUCCGUGAUGACUAACAGGCUUAAUUUUAAUCGAAAGCUAUUCUGAAAUUUCAAAAGGAGGCUAGCUUAAUUUUGAUUUUUGUGUUACCUUUUGUUCUCUCUCACAGUAUAAGCUUAAUAUUGUUUAAAUUAAUUUUAUAAAUCUCAAUUUUUUUGAGGCAGCAUCUUACUAUGCAGCUCAGGCUGGUCUUGAGUUCACUGUGCAAUCCAAGAUGGCCUCGAGCUUGUGGUGUUCCUGCCUCUGCCUCCUGAAUAUCUGGAUUACAGGUGUGCACAUCACACCUGGCCACAAAGCUCAGCCUUUAACACAAUGGUUUUCAGGUAGUUUCAGGGCAGCAUUUGAGUAUUUUUCUUUUAUUGAUUUAAUACUAUGUUGGUAUACUUCAGUAUCUAGCAGAAACCAGAAUUCUAAACAGAGGUCCCUAAACACAUAAUGACUAGGUCCCGUGGCAAAACUGAAGACGGUGAAUUUAUCCUUACCACAAAAAGAAAGUACACACAAUAGGCCCAAAGGAUGGGCAGUGGCCUUGUUUUUUGGUAACGGAUGAUCUAAGUCCUGUCUGCCUCGUGUGUUUCUUUGGGAAGCAAUAUCUGGGGACAGCCGUUCGCACUGCCAUGCAGGAGUAUUUGCAGAUCCCAGGGGAAGGAGUGCUACUGUUGACCGGUGGCAUAGCCCAUUGUAAGUCCAAAGGAAAUUUCAGAUAAUAAAUACCUGAAAAGAAAACUUUGCUGAUCCUGGCAAUUCCUCAAAAAGCAAAUUAUGGUAGGCCUGACUUUUAAUCAAUGAUUCCCCACUGCUCACAGACUAAAGGCAAUAGUGGUUACAGUGGUGUACAUUCACAGUGCCUCUCCAUUUAUUUCAGUGAAGAUUAAGUAACUAGCUGUGUGACUUAGAGUUUGAUAGCUCUUUUACUAGACUAUACUGUACAUAGAUCAAAAUCAGUUUUUCACUGUUGUCUCUGGAAAUCAGCAUAAGGAGUCCAGUCCAUUGGCUGGAUAUAAGAAUAAACAAACAGUCUAUAAAUUUAUAUUGAGUUUCCAGGUAAGCAAGAGACUUGUCUUCCAUAGGAAGAUAUGGACCCAGAAAAACUGAAUUUUUGCAGAAAAAAUGAAAACUAUGAAAAGGGAGAAAAAUCUCCAGUUUAGCCAGAUGACCUUCUCAUGUCAAAUUUGCAUGUUUAGGGAGGGCUUGCUGCUGCGGACUGUCUGGCAGAGUCUGUCCUUCAGUUUAUCUGCCUCAGGAAAUUCCUAAAGCGGGUUUCUUCAACCUCUGCUGCCACAGAGGGCUUCCCAGCUUCCACAUGCACUUCCUCUGAGGGGUUGGGUUCUUUUGUGUAGGAACAUGAUAGUUGUCUGUCAGCAAGGCUGGUGAUUAGAUAGCUUGGGAUUUUAUCCCUUAUUUCUAAGUCUCUGGAGUUUAUCUUCUCUCUGUUGGUGCUUUCACCCCCUGCUG